rnacentral:rRNA from 1 species
AGAGUUUUAUCCUGGCUCAAGAUGAACGCUGGCGGCGUGCUCAAACAUGCAAGUCGAACGAAGCACUUUAUUUGAUUUCCUUCGGGACUGAUUAUUUUGUGACUGAGUGGCGGACGGGUGAGUAACGCGUGGGUAACCUGCCUUGUACAGGGGGAUAACAGUUGGAAACGGCUGCUAAUACCGCAUAAGCGCACGGCAUCGCAUGAUGCAGUGUGAAAAACUCCGGUGGUAUAAGAUGGACCCGCGUUGGACUAGCUAGUUGGUGAGGUAAUGGCCCACCAAGGCGACGAUCCAUAGCCGACCUGAGAGGGUGACCGGCCACAUUGGGACUGAGACACGGCCCAAACUCCUACGGGAGGCAGCAGUGGGGAAUAUUGCACAAUGGGGGAAACCCUGAUGCAGCGACGCCGCGUGAAGGAAGAAGUAUCUCGGUAUGUAAACUUCUAUCAGCAGGGAAGAUAGUGACGGUACCUGACUAAGAAGCCCCGGCUAACUACGUGUCAGCAGCCGCGGUAAUACGUAGGGGGCAAGCGUUAUCCGGAUUUACUGGGUGUAAAGGGAGCGUAGACGGUGUGGCAAGUCUGAUGUGAAGGGCAUGGGCUCAACCUGUGGACUGCAUUGGAAACUGUCAUACUUGAGUGCCGGAGGGGUAAGCGGAAUUCCUAGUGUAGCGGUGAAAUGCGUAGAUAUUAGGAGGAACACCAGUGGCGAAGGCGGCUUACUGGACGGUAACUGACGUUGAGGCUCGAAAGCGUGGGGAGCAAACAGGAAGAGAUACCCUGGUAGUCCACGCCGUAAACGAUGACUUUAAGGUGUCGGGGAGCAUGGUUCUUCGGUGCCGUCGCAAACGCAGUAAGUAUUCCACAUGGGGUAGUACGUUCGCAAGAAUGAAACUCUAAGGAAUUGUCGGGGACCCGCACAAGCGGUGGAGCAUGGUGGUUUAAUUCGAAGCAACGCGAAGAACCUUACCAAGUCUUGACAUCCCUCUGACCGACUCUUAACCGAGUCUUUCCUUCGGGACAGAGGAGACAGGUGGUGCAUGGUUGUCGUCAGCUCGUGUCGUGAGAUGUUGGGUUAAGUCCCGCAACGAGCGCAACCCUUAUCUUUAGUAGCCAGCGGUUCGGCCGGGCACUCUAGGGAGACUGCCAGGGAUAACCUGGAAGAAGGUGGGGAUGACGUCAAAUCAUCAUGCCCCUUAUGACUUGGGCUACACACGUGCUACAAUGGCGUAAACAAAGGGAAGCGAGCCUGCGAGGGGGAGCAAAUCCCAAAAAUAACGUCUCAGUUCGGACUGCAGUCUGCAACUCGACUGCACGAAGCUGGAAUCGCUAGUAAUCGCGAAUCAGAAUGUCGCGGUGAAUACGUUCCCGGGUCUUGCACUCACCGCCCG